rnacentral:rRNA from 1 species
GUGAGGAAUAUUGGUCAAUGGGCGGGAGCCUGAACCAGCCAAGUCGCGUGAAGGAAGAAGGAUCUAUGGUUCGUAAACUUCUUUUGCAGGGGAAUAAAGUGCAGGACGUGUCCUGUUUUGUAUGUACCCUGAGAAUAAGGAUCGGCUAACUCCGUGCCAGCAGCCGCGGUAAUACGGAGGAUCCGAGCGUUAUCCGGAUUUAUUGGGUUUAAAGGGUGCGUAGGUGGUUUGAUAAGUCAGCGGUGAAAGUUUGCAGCUUAACUGUAAAAAUGCCGUUGAAACUGUCGGACUUGAGUGUAAAUGAGGUAGGCGGAAGGCGUGGUGUAGCGGUGAAAUGCAUAGAUAUCACGCAGAACUCCGAUUGCGAAGGCAGCUUACUAAGCUACAACUGACACUGAAGCACGAAAGCGUGGGGAUCAAACAGGAUUAGAUACCCCAGUAGUCC